rnacentral:tRNA from 1 species
ACCAGAGUGGCGUAGUGGUUAGAGUACUGGACUAGGAUCUCGGAGACCCAGGUUUGAAUCCUGACUGUCUUGAUGGGUG